CCUACGGGAGGCAGCAGUGAGGAAUAUUGGUCAAUGGACGCGAGGCUGAACCAGCCAAGUAGCGUGAAGGAUGACUGCCCUAUGGGUUGUAAACCUCUUUUAUAUGGGAAUAAAGUGUUCCACGUGUGGGAUUUUGCGUGUACCAUAUGAAUAAGCAUCGGCUAACUCCGUGCCAGCAGCCGCGGUAAUACGGAGGAUCCGAGCGUUAUCCGGAUUUAUUGGGUUUAAAGGGAGCGUAGGUGGAUUGUUAAGUCAGUUGGGAAAGUUUGGGGCUCAACCGUCAUAUUGCAGUUGAAACUGGCGGUCUUGAGUACAGUAGAGGUAGGCGGAAUUCGUGGUGUAGCGGUGAAAUGCUUAGAUAUCACGAAGAACUCCGAUUGCGAAGGCAGCUCACCGGAGUGCAACUGACACUGAGGCUCGAAAGUGUGGGUAUCGAACAGGAUUAGAUACCCCAGUAGUG
rnacentral:rRNA from 1 species